AGAAACUCUUCAAGCUUUGGUAUGUUGCAAAGAUUGGUUGUACACAUAUCCCACCAAUGAAGUGAGUUAGGGAAUUCUGAGAAGCUUAUCCUUUGCACGGUUGAUGAUUACAACAUGGUUAAUUUUGUACCACUUGACUUGAGAAAGGAGAGCAGCAUACAAUAUGUGCUAUCGUACAUCGACUCCUUCAUCCAUUACGGGGAAGAUGCUGACGUGAAGGUUAGGGACUUCGAUCCUCCCGAGGACGACGACUAGCUAUUUGAUGCUUUUGGAACUGCAAACGACUAGGUGGUGGUGUCUUCUGUCUUGUGGUGAACCCUUGGUUUUUGAGUAGGCGUUCAAGUGGUGUCUACUUGAUCUCUGUAGAUGGAACAAUGCCAACUCCUGUACGUUAUAUAUACCUGCUUCUGCUUGUAUGGCUGA